UUACUGAGUUUACGCUCUAYAACCCUUUGUGAACAUACCUAUAACUGUUGCUUCGGCGGGUAGGGUCUCCGYGACCCUCCCGGCCUCCCGCCCCCGGGCGGGUCGGCGCCCGCCGGAGGAUAACCAAACUCUGAUUUAACGACGUUUCUUCUGAGUGGUACAAGCAAAUAAUCAAAACUUUUAACAACGGAUCUCUUGGUUCUGGCAUCGAUGAAGAACGCAGCGAAAUGCGAUAAGUAAUGUGAAUUGCAGAAUUCAGUGAAUCAUCGAAUCUUUGAACGCACAUUGCGCCCGCCAKCAUUCUGGCGGGCAUGCCUGUUCGAGCGUCAUUUCAACCCUCAAGCUCUGCUUGGUGUUGGGGCCCUACAGCUGAUGUAGGCCCUCAAAGGUAGUGGCGGACCCUCCCGGAGCCUCCUUUGCGUAGUAACUUUACGUCUCGCACUGGGAUCCGGAGGGACUCUUGCCGUAAAACCCCCAAUUUUCCAAAGGUUGACCUCGGAUCAGGUAGGAAUACCCGCUGAACUUAAGCAUAUCAAUAAGCGGAGGAAAAGAAACCAACAGGGAUUGCCUCAGUAACGGCGAGUGAAGCGGCAACAGCUCAAAUUUGAAAUCUGGCCCUAGGCCCGAGUUGUAAUUUGCAGAGGAUGCUUUUGGUGCGGUGCCUUCCAAGUUCCCUAGAACGGGACGCCAGAGAGGGUGAGAGCCCCGUACAGUUGGACACCAAGCCUUUGUAAAGCUCCUUCGACGAGUCGAGUAGUUUGGGAAUGCUGCUCAAAAUGGGAGGUAUAUUUCUUCUAAAGCUAAAUACCGGCCAGAGACCGAUAGCGCACAAGUAGAGUGAUCGAAAGAUGAAAAGCACUUUGAAAAGAGGGUUAAACAGCACGUGAAAUUGUUAAAAGGGAAGCGCUUGUGACCAGACUUGCGUCCGGUGAAUCACCCAGCUCUCGCGGCUGGGGCACUUCGCCGGCUCAGGCCAGCAUCAGCUCGCUGUCGGGGACAAAAGCUUCAGGAACGUAGCUCUCUUCGGGGAGUGUUAUAGCCUGUUGCAUAAUACCCUUCGGCGGGCUGA
rnacentral:misc_RNA from 1 species